rnacentral:rRNA from 1 species
GGGUCAGUAGGUUGGUCGUGCCACCGGUACGUACUGGUCUCACCGAUUCCUCCUUCCUGAAGAACCGUAAUGCCAUUAAUUUGGUGUUGCGGGGAAACAGGACUGUUACUUUGAAAAAUUUAGAGUGUUUAAAGCAAGCUAACGCUUGAAUACAUUAGCAUGGAAUAAUGAAAUAGGACGAUCGAUCCUAUUUUGUUGGUUUCUAGGAUUGACGUA